CCUGGACGUUACGGAGAAAGGAGAGUUUCUCACGGAGUUUCUGCUGAUCUAUUAUUUAAAAGAUGAGAAAACGUUUUGCUCUCCUUUAGCUGGUGUGUUCGUCAGAUGCUCGUUUCAGGUUUUAUAUAUAAUUUCGCAGACUGUGGAAUAAUUUGGCUGUUUUAGACCUGAGAGUUGCAGCACAUGUGUGAACCAGCCGCCUGCUGUUCCACGUUUUAAUGUUUUUUAAGAAUAAAUACGCCAACAGUUUGACUGAGCUGGAAGUCCUGAGGAAUCUUCAAUUCACAACGCAGAGUUUUAUUGGUGGUUCGGUGUGUAACGCAGAGCCUGGCUUCAUCAGUUUCUGUGCAGACUUCCCUCCGGUGAAGGUAAUCACGUUUCCCUCCCUGACGGCUCACUCUGAGGCUGAGGGUGGGAAGCAGGCAGCUGCUGCAGCUCUGUGGCCAUUUGAACGUCACGUUUGGCGACAGACGCUCAUCAACAUUCGCUGUUAACCUCCGGAAGCAUUGGCAGCCGGCUGCCCUUCAGCUGCAUCAAGCCAAUCAUCCUGCAGGCGAGGCAGAGAAAAGCUCCUUAAACACCUAAUUACUCUUUAAUAACUGCAUGAUAUGUUGCCCUUAAUUGGAAACAUAUUAAUUUGUGGGAAUGAUCAGAGGCCCUUGGCUGCUGGAGGUCGUGAUCAAGUGGGCAUAAAAUGAUCAAAGCCAGCCUGCGGAUUUAAAAUGCAUAAUAUUACAAACAAGCAAAAGAAAUGAAAUAUUACUUUGCAUGUAAUAGAAAUAUGUAGCAUUUUCCAUAAAAAUGAAGAGAUAAGUUUCAUCAUUAGGCUCAGAAUACAUGAGUGCAUGUUUCUAUAUAUAAAUAACGUCAAAAGCAACUUAAUGAGGUGAAUUUAUUCAUGUUAUUUCUACAUUUAAUGGUUUUGGCUUACAGAUACUAUCACAUAAAAUAAAAUAUGACAUCACACCAAUAGAUUUGAUUCAUAAAUCUGGUCCCACUGACAAUAUAUCAAACUGCUCA